GGACUACACGGGUAUCUAAUCCCGUUUGCUCCCCUGGCUUUCGCGCCUCAGCGUCAGUAGAGAUCCAGCAGGUCGCUUUCGCCACCGGCGUUCCUUCCGAUAUCUACGCAUUUCACCGCUCCACCGGAAGUUCCACCUGCCCCUACCUCCCUCUAGCUCGCCAGUAUCAGGGGCACUUUUCCGGUUGAGCCGAAAGAUUUCACCCCUGACUUGGCAAGCCGCCUACGCGCCCUUUAAGCCCAGUGAAUCCGAACAACGUUCGCACGGUUCGUCUUACCGCGGCUGCUGGCAC
rnacentral:rRNA from 2 species